AGAACGAACGCUGGCGGCAUGCCUAACACAUGCAAGUCGAACGAGACCUUCGGGUCUAGUGGCGCACGGGUGCGUAACGCGUGGGAAUCUGCCCUUCGGUUCGGAAUAACAGUUAGAAAUGACUGCUAAUACCGGAUAAUGACGUAAGUCCAAAGAUUUAUCGCCGAAGGAUGAGCCCGCGUAAGAUUAGCUAGUUGGUGAGGUAAAGGCUCACCAAGGCUACGAUCUUUAGCUGGUCUGAGAGGAUGAUCAGCCACACUGGGACUGAGACACGGCCCAGACUCCUACGGGAGGCAGCAGUGGGGAAUUUUGGACAAUGGGCGCAAGCCUGAUCCAGCCAUGCCGCGUGCAGGAUGAAGGCCUUCGGGUUGUAAACUGCUUUGUACGGAACGAAAGGUUCUUUCUAAUAAAGAGAGCUCAUGACGGUACCGUAAGAAUAAGCACCGGCUAACUACGUGCCAGCAGCCGC
rnacentral:rRNA from 1 species